UGCUGCUCUUCUUUCUGUUGCUAGCUCAAUGCUCCCUGCCUUAUCUGUCAUUGUGCUCCCUGCUUCUUCCCUGUUAUGCUGUUGGCACACCCACAGGCUGCUUGUGCUACUCUUGGCACUAAUGCCACAGGUUGGCUACCCCUGCUUUGGAAUAUCAUGCAAGCCAAGUGCAGCUGGCAAAAACAAAACAAAAAAACCCAAAACCUUGUUCGGCAAUCAGUAGGUGUUGCUCUUGACCACUUAUACUAACUCCCUUCACAGAGAUCAGGAUAACUUCACAAUACUCUGAAUAGCAUUUAAGAGCCCAACAAAACAUUUAACUGAAAAAGAACAGCCAGCUUCCUUUUAACUGCUACAUUUAAGACAGCUCCAUGGAUUUUUAUAUACACACUAGGGAACAGGGGAUUUUGGGUCAUGUUGCUUGUCAUUCAUGAUUUGCAGUAAUCACAACCUUAUACCCCAUGGACAUUGUAUGUUUUUGUUAGCAUUUUUCAGAAUUUUUUGUUUCUUUAUUGUUGUAGAGAUUUGUUUUUAAAACAGGAUUUACAUCAAUGCAGAUGAAUUACUCUAAUAAAUUUCUUCAUGGGGUAAGAUUAUGGAGUUAAAUUCUAAGUUCCUAAAAGGAAAGGUUAACGCAACCUUAUCAGAAGCAGCAUAGAAACAUUUCAUAACUGAAAAAGAAAACAGUAUUUUACUGCCAAGUACAGUAUGCAGUUUCUUGUUACCCAGUACUUUGCAGUUCUGUUACGUCUUUCAGCCAGGGAUCUUAGGGACUUUUAAUUAAAGCAGCUGUGAAGAGUUUCAUUUUUGUCAAGUGGUUAGUGAUUUUUUUUUGGCUGGAGUUUUGAGGCUUAUUUUCCCCUUCCUCCCUGUCACUUAGAGAGAGGGAGUAGUAGCCUAGGCUAGGGGUUGGUAACCUACAACAGCAAGUUGGAUUUAACCCGCAAAGCUAUUUAAUCUAGCCCGCCUGCCUGCCUGCUUCUGACCUAAGCUGGUCAUUCCAACUUGCAACCUUAAGUUUACUGACUGCUGCCCUAAAGCUGUUCUUGUUUGGGUAUCAGAAAUCAUUUCUGGUCCCUUUUGAUAAACUGUGUGAUAGUUGUUUAUUUCUGAACUCGGUUUGAUUAGUGUGAAUGCUGGCUGAAGUCAGGACUUAAGAUGACAGCUUCCAAAGUUGAAACAGUUCUUUGAAUUAAUAGGAGGAAAGGGUUUUUUAAGAUAAACAUUUCAACAGGAAAAAUUCUAUAUCCUUAUAUAUUUAAAAAUUAGCCUUGAGCUUUUUUUGCCAGCAUACCAUGCGUUGUGAAGCUUCAUGCAAGAAUAAAAGAGGUAAUAGCAAAAGUAUCACCUGGAAGGAAGGAUAAUAGAAAACACACUUGUCUCCAAGUCUUCAGUGUCAUUGUCACAAGCAGUGCCAGGGCCAUCAUAUUCUGUUGCUUCCACUGUGUAUGUGAAAAGAUAGGAAGUUGAGAGGGAGGAAAGUGUUAUUUAGCUUCCAACAGCAAAUUUCAGGUUAACUGAAGCUGUUACAAUCAGCUAAGGAACAUCCAGUUUUGAAAGCUCUCCUCUUCGUCCACUCAGAUGCUUGGAGAAAGCAUUUUGUGAAUGUGCCGUUUUUCUGUUUUUUGCAUCUCGCCCACACCCUUAAACCCAGGAAAUGGUAGAAAUCACUAACAAGGAUGUGUGCAAAAAGGAUACAAGCUAUUAAUUGAGAUGUUAGAACACUUUUGCUUGAUUACUGUAAAUAAUUAAUCUCCUUUGCUCACUUAUCAGAGGAUAGUCUUCUCGAGUGUCUUUUUGAUGUUAUGUAAGAAUUCCCUAAUGUGAUUAGCUUAUAACAUUUUGGUCUUUCUGUAAUGACUUCUUAAUUCACACAAAGAAGAAAAUCCCUUUUACAUCUGGAUUUACUGACUUGUUAACAUGAUCUUUGCACAGUUAUUAAUUGUAUCAAAGAAUCAGUAUGUGAAAUACUUUUCCUUUUUAGACUUAAAGCUAUUGAGAGACUCUAGUUUGCCAGCACAGGCAGUUUCCCCUAGCACAAGAGUUUCGAACUGACCCUGGACUGGAUUGAGACUUCAGGGACUUCUCCUGAGCCAUCCAGGCCCAGGAACCCCAAAUUCUGUGGCAGGCCCUGCUCCUAAUCCUGCCUCCCAACUUCCUGUAGCCUACUGGUAUCCUGGAGGGCUGGAUAGAACUGUUCUGUAGGUCAUGUUUGACACCCCUGCCAUAAAGUAAGAACUGUUAUCAGUUUUACUUUAUCGCAGAGCUUAUUUUCAGGAAAGUGCAAGUUUUAUGAAGCAUUUCAAAAUAGGUUUAAUGUAUCUGAUUUUUCUGACAAUAACAAUAACUACCUGUGUUAUAAUGGUAAUGUAUAACAUUCUCAAAAAAACCCAGCGCUGUUGCUAGGAUGAAAAUAUAAAGGCUUAUCUCAAAAAAAUGUUUUCAUUGUUUUAAAUCAUCUUAAUUGCAUUCAUCUGGCUAAACUAGUGACCUGAAGCUUCUGGCCAGUAGCAACUAGAUUUAGUUUAAUUUCAGAUUCUUGAAUCUGUAAUUGACUACUUAAUGAAAAGGUGCAUCAUGUUCAGGUACCCCCAUUCUGUUCUCCUGCUGUUAGUGUUCAGUGAAUUGAUGCUAAAUGCAAAAACAGUCCAUAAAUAAAAUGGAUUUGUGUAAAUAAUUGUGAUAAGAAGAGGUUCUGCUUUCAAUGCUUUUGGCCACAAAAAAAAGGAAAAAUGCCCAAGGGGUUGAAUUGUUGUACAUAAAAAAUUAGUUGGUGCAUUUCUCCCUGCUCUUCCUUUUGUAUCUGAGGUAUUUCUAGAAUAUUUUUAUGUCCCUUGCCUGUCUGGUUUUGUCCCUAUGUGCUCAUUCUGCACUCAAACCUCCAUUCUUAAUAAUGCAGCCAUGUUUCUUUUUGUGAGAUGAUACUUU